ensembl:lncRNA
UUAGAAUUAGAGAUUUUUUUACUGGGGGAAAAAACACUUUGAAAACAUUUAUACUGGUUAGUACCAUUGUUGUACAAUGUGAAACAUACUGUACUGCUUGUAAUGUUAGUUCAGUUACAGCAAGGAAAAAAAUCUACUAAAUUCUCAUGAUAUACAGUGCCUUCGGGAAAAGUAGUCAGACCCCUUGACUUUUUCCACAUUUUGUUACAUUACAGCCUUAAUUCUAAAAUUGAUUAAAUUGUUGUUUUUCUAAUCAAAGUACACACAAAACCCCAUAAUGACAAAGAAAAAACAGUUUGACAUUUUUCUAAUUAAUUAGAAAUAAAAAAUGAAAUAUCAUAUUUACAUAUGUUUUAGACCCUUUACUCAGUACUUUGUUGAAGCACCUUUGGCAGCGGUUACAGCAUUGAGUCUUCUUGGGUAUGAUGCUACAGGCUUGGCACACCUGUAUUUGGGGAGUUUCUCCAUUCUUCUCUGCAGAUCCUCUGAAGCUCUGUCAGGUUGGAUGGGGAGCGUUGCUGCACAGCUACUUUCAGGUCUCUCCAGAGAUGCUCAAUCGGGUUCAAGUCCGGGCUCUGGCUGGAACACUCAAGGACAUUCAAAGACCUGUUCUGAAGCCACUCCUGCAUUGUCUUGACUGUGUGCUUAGGGUCAUUGUCCUGUUGGAAGGUGAACUGUCGCCCCAGUCGGAGAUCCUGAGCGCUCUGGAGCAGGUUUUCAUCGAGGAUCUCAUCUUUGCCUUGAUCCUGACUAGUCUCCCAGUCCCUGUCGCUGAAAAACAUUAAGCUGCCACUACCAUGCUUCACCGUAGGGAUGGUGCCAGGUGUCUUCCAGACGUGACGCUUGGCAUUCAGGCCAAAGAGUUCAAUCUUUGUUUCAUCAGACCAGAGAAUCUUGUUUCUCCUGGUCUGAGAUUCUUUAGGUGCCUUUUGGCAAACUCCAAGUAGGCUAUCAUGUGCCUUUUACAGAGGAGUGGCUUCCAUCUGGCUAUUCUACAAUAAAGGCCUAAUUUGUGGAGUGCUGCAGAGAUGGGAGAACCUUCUAGAACGACAACCAUCUCCACAGGGGAACUCUAGAGCUCUGUCAGAGUGACCAUCGGAUUCUUGGUCACCUCCCUGACCAAGGCCCUUCUCCCCCGAAUGCUCAGUUUGGGUGGGCGGUCAGCUCUAGGAAGAGUCUUCCAUUUAAGAAUCAUGGAGGCCACUGUGUUCUUGGGUACCUUCAAUGCUGCAGAUAUUUUUGGUACCCUUCGCCAGAUCUGUGCCUCGACAAAGUCCUGUCUUGGAGCUCUACAGACAAUCCCUUCGACCUCGUGCCAUGGGUUUUGCUUUGACAUGCACUGUCUGUCAACUGUGGGACCUGAGACAACUGGACUCUAAUCAAGUUGUAGAAACAUCUCAGGGAUGAUCAAUGGAAACAGGAUGCACCUGAGCUUAUUUUCGACUCUCAUAGCAAAGGUUCUGAAUACUUAUGUAAAUAAGGUAUUUCUGUAUUAUAAAAACCUACUUUUGAUUUGUCAUUAUGGGGUAUUGUGAUU